GGGUUGUGAGGUUAAGCGACUAAGCGUACACGGUGGAUGCCCUGGCAGUCAGAGGCGAUGAAGGGCGUGCUAAUCUGCGAUAAGCGCCGGUAAGGUGAUAUGAACCGUUAUAACCGGCGAUACCCGAAUGGGGAAACCCAGUGUGACUCGUCACACUAUCAUUAACUGAAUCCAUAGGUUAAUGAGGCGAACCGGGGGAACUGAAACAUCUAAGUACCCCGAGGAAAAGAAAUCAACCGAGAUUCCCCCAGUAGCGGCGAGCGAACGGGGAGGAGCCCAGAGCCUGAAUCAGCAUGUGUGUUAGUGGAAGCGUCUGGAAAGGCGCGCGAUACAGGGUGACAGCCCCGUACACAAAAGCGCAUGUGCUGUGAGCUCGAUGAGUAGGGCGGGACACGUGGUAUCCUGUCUGAAUAUGGGGGGACCAUCCUCCAAGGCUAAAUACUCCUGACUGACCGAUAGUGAACCAGUACCGUGAGGGAAAGGCGAAAAGAACCCCGGCGAGGGGAGUGAAAAAGAACCUGAAACCGUGUACGUACAAGCAGUGGGAGCACAGGUUUACCUGUGUGACUGCGUACCUUUUGUAUAAUGGGUCAGCGACUUAUAUUCUGUAGCAAGGUUAACCGAAUAGGGGAGCCGGAGGGAAACCGAGUCUUAA
rnacentral:rRNA from 1 species